GACGAACGCUGGCGGCGUGCCUAAUACAUGCAAGUCGAACGCAUUUUCUUUCACCUUAGCUUUCUACACCUAAAGAAAAUGAGUUGCGAACGGGUUAGUAACACUUGGUUAACCUCCCCAUCAGCUGGGGAUAACCCUUGGAAACAGGUGCUAAUACCGCAUAAUUCCAUUUACCGCAUGGUAGAUGGAUUUAAGUCGCUUUUGCGUCACUGUUGGCUGUACCUUCGGUGCAUUAUCUAGUUAGUGGUGUAACGGCCUACCAAGGCUGAGAUGCAUAGCCGACCUGAGAGGGUGAUCGGCCAACCUGGGACUGAGAAACGGCCCAGACUCCUAAGGGAGGGAGCAGUAGGGAAUCUUCGGCAAUGGAGACAAGUCUGACCGAGCAAAGGCGCGUGAGUGAAGAAGGUUUUCGGAUCGGAAAACCCUGUUGUUAGAGAAGAAAAAGGAUGAGAGUGGAAAGUUCACCCCUUGACGGUAUCUAACCAGAAAGCCACGGCUAACUACGUG
rnacentral:rRNA from 1 species